rnacentral:rRNA from 1 species
GUGGGGAAUUUUGGACAAUGGGGGAAACCCUGAUCCAGCCAUGCCGCGUGCAGGAUGAAGGCCUUCGGGUUGUAAACUGCUUUUGUACGGAACGAAAAGGUCCUUUCUAAUAAAGAGGGCUCAUGACGGUACCGUAAGAAUAAGCACCGGCUAACUACGUGCCAGCAGCCGCGGUAAUACGUAGGGUGCGAGCGUUAAUCGGAAUUACUGGGCGUAAAGCGUGCGCAGGCGGUUAUAUAAGACAGAUGUGAAAUCCCCGGGCUAAACCUGGGAACUGCAUUAGUGACUGUAUAGCUGGAGUGCGGCAGAGGGGGAUGGAAUUCCGCGUGUAGCAGUGAAAUGCGUAGAUAUGCGGAGGAACACCGAUGGCGAAGGCAAUCCCCUGGGCCUGCACUGACGCUCAUGCACGAAAGCGUGGGGAGCAAACAGGAUUAGAUACCCGUGUAGUCC